rnacentral:rRNA from 1 species
CAUCGCUUCUGACAAGCUAUAGAAGGUCCAGCCUGCCCAGUGAUAAAAUUCAACGGCCGCGGUACCCUAACCGUGCGAAGGUAGCAUAAUCACUUGUUCUUUAAAUGAGGACUAGUAUCAACGGCAUCACGAGGACUACACUGUCUCCUCUCUUCAAUCAGUGAAACUGAUCUCCCCGUGAAGAAGCGGGGAUUCACUUAUAAGACGAGAAGACCCCAUGGAGCUUUAAACCCAAUGUAUAACCCAACAUACAAAUCAGUAAAGCCCUGAGGAUCUAUACACUGGUUUUAGGUUGGGGAGACCACGGAGUAAAACUAAACCUCCACAACAAACUGGCUAACGCCCUGAUCUAUGAACUACAACUCUAAGAGCCAACAAAUUGUUGCCAACGACCCAAUCACUUGAUUAAUGAACCAAGUUACCCUGGGGAUAACAGCGCAAUCUACUUCAAGAGCCCCUAUCGACAAGUAGGUUUACGACCUCGAUGUUGGAUCAGGGUAUCCAAGUGGCGCAGCCGCUACUAAUGG